rnacentral:rRNA from 1 species
ACUCCUGCGGGAGGCAGCAGUGGGGAAUUUUGGACAAUGGGCGAAAGCCUGAUCCAGCCAUGCCGCGUGCAGGAUGAAGGCCUUCGGGUUGUAAACUGCUUUUGUACGGAACGAAACGGCCUUUUCUAAUAAAGAGGGCUAAUGACGGUACCGUAAGAAUAAGCACCGGCUAACUACGUGCCAGCAGCCGCGGUAAUACGUAGGGUGCAAGCGUUAAUCGGAAUUACUGGGCGUAAAGCGUGCGCAGGCGGUUAUGUAAGACAGUUGUGAAAUCCCCGGGCUCAACCUGGGAACUGCAUCUGUGACGGCAUAGCUAGAGUACGGUAGAGGAGGAGGGAAUUCCGCGUGUAGCAGUGAAAUGCGUAGAUAUGCGGAGGAACACCGAUGGCGAAGGCAAUCCCCUGGACCUGUACUGACGCUCAUGCACGAAAGCGUGGGGAGCAAACAGGAUUAGAAACCCGUGUAGUCC